rnacentral:lncRNA from 1 species
AGAAAGAAGGGGGUGGGGUCAAAGAUACUAGUUAGGGGCAUGGUUUAUGAAAAGAGAAAAGAGACAGAUUGAAAAUAUUCCUACAUGCAAGCCACAAGAGAAAGAGAAAGAGAAAGAGAUAGAGAUAGAGAUUGUAAAAAGCAUAAAUAUACAAGAGUAGUGGUAGUGGUGAGUUUGUUCUUCUUGAUAGAAAUAUAUAUAUUAAAAAAGAAGAAGAGUGAAUGUCAGCAAAGGCAAAGGAAGACAGAAGCAGUGAAACACGGACCUUCCCAAAAGCUCAUUUGGGUUUGGGAAUCACGAAAGUUGAUUUUGAUUUUAGAUGAUCACCCACUGCAACGUUUCCAUACUUGUACUACUCUACAGGAUGCAUGUGGGCCCUUCUUCAAAAGCUUACAUGCAUAUAUAUUUUUUCUUUUAUUUU